GACGAACGCUGGCGGCGUGCUUAACACAUGCAAGUCGAACGGAAAGGCCCUGCUUUUGUGGGGUGCUCGAGUGGCGAACGGGUGAGUAACACGUGAGUAACCUGCCCUUGACUUUGGGAUAACUUCAGGAAACUGGGGCUAAUACCGGAUAGGAGCUCCUGCUGCAUGGUGGGGGUUGGAAAGUUUCGGCGGUUGGGGAUGGACUCGCGGCUUAUCAGCUUGUUGGUGGGGUAGUGGCUUACCAAGGCUUUGACGGGUAGCCGGCCUGAGAGGGUGACCGGCCACAUUGGGACUGCGAUACGGCCCAGACUCCUACGGGAGGCAGCAGUGGAGAAUAUUGCGCAAUGGGCGGAAGCCUGAUGCAGCAACGCCGCGUGCGGGAUGACGGCCUUCGGGUUGUAAACCGCUUUCGCCUGUGACGAAGCGUGAGUGACGGUAAUGGGUAAAGAAGCACCGGCUAACUACGUG
rnacentral:rRNA from 1 species